rnacentral:rRNA from 1 species
AGGGGAGCCGGAGGGAAACCGAGUCUUAACCGGGCGUUAAGUUGCAGGGUAUAGACCCGAAACCCGGUGAUCUAGCCAUGGGCAGGUUGAAGGUUGGGUAACACUAACUGGAGGACCGAACCGACUAAUGUUGAAAAAUUAGCGGAUGACCUGUGGCUGGGGGUGAAAGGCCAAUCAAACCGGGAGAUAGCUGGUUCUCCCCGAAAGCUAUUUAGGUAGCGCCUCGUGAAUUCAUCUCCGGGGGUAGAGCACUGUUUCGGCUAGGGGGCCAUCCCGGCUUACCAACCCGAUGCAAACUGCGAAUACCGGAGAAUGUUAUCACGGGAGACACACGGCGGGUGCUAACGUCCGUCGUGAAGAGGGAAACAACCCAGACCGCCAGCUAAGGUCCCAAAGUCAUGGUUAAGUGGGAAACGAUGUGGGAAGGCCCAGACAGCCAGGAUGUUGGCUUAGAAGCAGCCAUCAUUUAAAGAAAGCGUAAUAGCUCACUGGUCGAGUCGGCCUGCGCGGAAGAUGUAACGGGGCUAAACCAUGCACCGAAGCUGCGGCAGCGAACGUAUCACUUAAAGCGAUUCAGCGGGUUACGAUUGACGGAGCGAAGCGACGUCAAAGCGUAUACAAAGUCGAGUCGGUUUAAGGAUACGUUCGUUGGGUAGGGGAGCGUUCUGUAAGCCUGUGAAGGUGG